AUUGAACGCUGGCGGCAGGCCUAACACAUGCAAGUCGAACGGUAGCACAGAGAGCUUGCUCUCGGGUGACGAGUGGCGGACGGGUGAGUAACGUCUGGGAAACUGCCCGAUGGAGGGGGAUAACUACUGGAAACGGUAGCUAAUACCGCAUAACGUCGCAAGACCAAAGUGGGGGACCUUCGGGCCUCACACCAUCGGAUGUGCCCAGAUGGGAUUAGCUAGUAGGUGGGGUAAUGGCUCACCUAGGCGACGAUCCCUAGCUGGUCUGAGAGGAUGACCCGCCACACUGGAACUGAGACACGGUCCAGACUCCUACGGGAGGCAGCAGUGGGGAAUAUUGCACAAUGGGCGCAAGCCUGAUGCAGCCAUGCCGCGUGUAUGAAGAAGGCCUUCGGGUUGUAAAGUACUUUCAGCGGGGAGGAAGGCGGUGAAGUUAAUAACUUCACCGAUUGACGUUACCCGCAGAAGAAGCACCGGCUAACUCCGUGCCAGCAGCCGCGGUAA
rnacentral:rRNA from 1 species